UCCGGCUUAUCACCGGCAGUCUCCCUAGAGUGCCCAACUGAAUGAUGGCAACUAAGGACGAGGGUUGCGCUCGUUGCGGGACUUAACCCAACAUCUCACGACACGAGCUGACGACAGCCAUGCAGCACCUGUGUUCCAGCCAGCCGAACUGAAGACUCUCAUCUCUGAAAGCCAUACUGGACAUGUCAAGGGUUGGUAAGGUUCUGCGCGUUGCUUCGAAUUGAACCACAUGCUCCACCGCUUGUGCGGGCCCCCGUCAAUUCCUUUGAGUUUCAACCUUGCGGUCGUACUCCCCAGGUGGUUCACUUAACGGUUUCCCUUGGACGCACAACGUCUAGCGCCAUACGUCGAGUGAGCAUCGUUUAGGGCGUGGACUAC
rnacentral:misc_RNA from 1 species